UAACACUAACUGGAGGACCGAACCGACUAAUGUUGAAAAAUUAGCGGAUGACUUGUGGCUGGGGGUGAAAGGCCAAUCAAACCGGGAGAUAGCUGGUUCUCCCCGAAAGCUAUUUAGGUAGCGCCUCGUGAAUUCAUCUCCGGGGGUAGAGCACUGUUUCGGCAAGGGGGUCAUCCCGACUUACCAACCCGAUGCAAACUGCGAAUACCGGAGAAUGUUAUCACGGGAGACACACGGCGGGUGCUAACGUCCGUCGUGAAGAGGGAAACAACCCAGACCGCCAGCUAAGGUCCCAAAGUCAUGGUUAAGUGGGAAACGAUGUGGGAAGGCCCAGACAGCCAGGAUGUUGGCUUAGAAGCAGCCAUCAUUUAAAGAAAGCGUAAUAGCUCACUGGUCGAGUCGGCCUGCGCGGAAGAUGUAACGGGGCUAAACCAUGCACCGAAGCUGCGGCAGCGACGCUUAUGCGUUGUUGGGUAGGGGAGCGUUCUGUAAGCCUGUGAAGGUGGCCUGUGAGGGUUGCUGGAGGUAUCAGAAGUGCGAAUGCUGACAUAAGUAACGAUAAAGCGGGUGAAAAGCCCGCUCGCCGGAAGACCAAGGGUUCCUGUCCAACGUUAAUCGGGGCAGGGUGAGUCGACCCCUAAGGCGAGGCCGAAAGGCGUAGUCGAUGGGAAACAGGUUAAUAUUCCUGUACUUGGUGUUACUGCGAAGGGGGGACGGAGAAGGCUAUGUUGGCCGGGCGACGGUUGUCCCGGUUUAAGCGUGUAGGCUGGU
rnacentral:rRNA from 1 species